rnacentral:lncRNA from 1 species
AUGUUCCUUUCCUCUGUCAUGGAGAAAGUAUCAGCUGUUGAAACAAAAGCUCUCCUCAGUGGCCCAGCUUGUGCUGCAAAGCUUCUCCAACCUCCUAUUCCAUGUCCCACUACCUCCACUAGGUCGCCGACACCCCUAAACCUCAGUUUUGUGAAACCACCAUCCACCAGCCAGUGCCCCAUUACUACCACUAGGCCCCCUGUACUACUUACCUCCACUGUCAAGGACCCACCACCUUCCACUCUGCAACCUGGUGCAGUGUGUGGAAACCCUUCAGCAUCCAUUCAACCUUCAUUCCCUUCCUUCCAGUCAGACAGGCAUGAAUCUCAAGAAAUAACACAUACAAUGACACUAUUUCUACUGGACCUUACAAAAACUCAUCAGCACCUUUAUUUUCGGAACAAAAUGGCAUUCUAUAAAAAAAUACAAAACUUAUUCUCACUAAAGGGCUACAACUUGUCAAGUGAGAAAAUUCGGAAAAAAAACUAGCAAACAUGUUAACUACUUAUAAGAGAGUGAAAGACAGGCGCCGUGCAACUGGGGAAGGGAAGAUCACCUGGGAGUACUAUACAGUAAGUUGAAGACUGCUUUACUUUGUUUCUGAAAUAACAUUGUCAUGUGUUACAAGACUGAAACAUUGGUCAUUUUCAUUUUACAUCCACCCCCACCAGCUAAUGGAUGAGUUAUUUGGGUCAUCGGGGAUCGGUACUGCACCACCUGGCACCAUUCACUCCACACCUCUGGGUUUGGAAGAGACCUCUUCCACAAGCAGGCCCACAACGUCUUCUCUUCAAGACCAGCCGGUAGGUGCUAGUAUGGAUGAACAGCCAGGAACUGCUACCAUACAAAAUGCAAACAUCACAAGAAGGCAAAGACGACCACAACCCUUACAAUUCCUGGACGCUUAUGAAGAGCAUGCAGAGAGAAGGACUGCUGUGCUUGAGUCCCUGGUAAGGCCAGAUCUGGAGUGAUGGCGGCGACUUAAGGAGAGGCGGAGAAGGUCCUUCGAAAAAAAGAUGGUGACCAGCUUGGGAACAAUUGUGGAGGAGCUAAAAAACAUGGGGAAAAGACAAGAGCAAAUUAUGCAUCUAUUACAGAACCCACAUAAACCCCAAUAAUACAAAAUAGCAAACAUCACAAGAAGGCAAAGACGACCACAACCCUUACAAUUCCUGGACGCUUAUGAAGAGCAUGCAGAGAGAAGGACUGCUGUGCUUGAGUCCCUGGUAAGGCCAGAUCUGGAGAGAUGGCGGCGACUUAAGGAGAGGUGGAGAAGGUCCUUCGAAAAAAAAGAUGGUGACCAGCUUGGGAACAAUUGUGGAGGAGCUAAAAAACAUGGGGAAAAGACAAGAGCAAAUUAUGCAUCUAUUACAGAACCCACAUGAACCCCAAUAAAAUUAUAAUCUAAAGAUGUUAUCUCUUUUGAUUUACACCUUUCCCCAAAAUGUCCUAUUGUUUUUUUUUUUCCCCAAAUAACAAUUUCUAAUGACAAACUAAUUUUGUUCAAUAAAACAAAUUUCUUUAUUUCAACACAAAAUCUGUUUGUUUAUUUUAUCAUUUGUUGAAUAUUUCUGAACAUUCAAAUCUUUACUUUUCAUCUUUUGUUUUGUAUGUUAAGUAUACACAUACAAGUUAGAUCUGGCCACAAUAAUGACAUGCAUUAGUGUUGUGGGGUUGCUGGGGUAGUGGUUCAUCAUCAACACCAUCACCUACCACAACAACUUGAUCACAGGGCUCUAAACAAAGAUUAUGCAAAAUGCAGCAGGCUGAGACUGCUGAGCUGAUAUUAGAAAUGCUUCUCAUUUGCAGGUAAUGGAGCCUCCUAAACUUAGAUUUUAGAAUGCCAAAUGCAUGCUCAAUGACCACGCGAGCUGCAUUGAGCUUUCUGUUAAAAUAUCUUUGCCUAGCAGACAAGUGGCCAUUGUCUCUAUAAGACCUCAUAAGCUGAGGCAACAAAGGGUAGGCAUUAUCCCCAAUUAUGUGCAUUCCCUGUGGAACAAGUGAAUGAGGAUCUUCUUCAAGAACACGACAAACUUCUGUGAAGCGAAAUGCUCUGGCAUCAUGCCAACUCCCAGGGUGACCCACACUAAUGUGACAGAAGCGCCGCUGACUGUCACAAAACCCAGUUAAAUUUACAGAAUAAAACUGUUUCCUAUUCAUGUAUGCUAGGGGAUUAUCACAGUGGGGUCUCAUUAUAGGAAUGUGACACCCAUCUACUGCACAUACAGUGUUGGGGAAACCUGCUGUGUCAAACCCUAAAUUUGACAUCUCCAGCCAUGUAUGUGUUAAUAUUGUAACAAAACUCAUGGAGAUGCUUGGCAAGAGUGGAUUUUGACAUGUUAAAUCUAUCUGCCACCCCACGAUAUGACUCCUGAUUCACCAAUGUCCAAAGGCAGGCAAGAACACUGUUCGUGAGUGGCAGUUUGGUCUGUUGUAAAUUCAUAUACACAGGACCAAGGGUAGUGAUGACAUCCUGCAAAGGUAGAAAAAUAGGUAAUCAAGACAACAUGCUAACACUUGUAAUAGUUCAAUGAAUUUUAUAUUAACCAGUCCCGUACAAACCUCCACUUGUUCUCUGGAAAGCCUGAAAUGACUUCUAAAUUCUGAGAGACUGUAGAGAGGACCCCACGAUAUGACUCCUGAUUCACCAAUGUCCAAAGGCAGGCAAGAACACUGUUCGUGAGUGGCAGUUUGGUCUGUUGUAAAUUCAUAUACACAGGACCAAGGAUAGUGAUGACAUCCUGCAAAGGUAGAAAAAUAGGUAAUCAAGACAACAUGCUAACACUUGUAAUAGUUCAAUGAAUUUUAUAUUAACCAGUCCAGUUCAAACCUCCACUUGUUCUCUGGAAAGCCUGAAAUGACUUCUAAAUUCUGAGAGACUGUAGAGAGGGACAACAUCCUCCACAAAAUUGUCUAUUUUUGGAACCAUUCUACAAGAGGAAUUGUACUCACUAUAUACAGUACAUGUAGCCUACCUGAACACACAUGUAACAUUAGUCAAACAUUUAUUAUCAGUGUUUUAUGUUGAAUAGGGAUUUUAAUUAAAUAAUUAGUCUAUACAGAAGUGUUAAAAUUUGAGUAAAACUCAAUUAUUUAUUUGUCAGAAUGAGUGUCUC